rnacentral:rRNA from 1 species
GCAAGCGUUGUUCGGAUUUACUGGGCGUAAAGGGCGCGUAGGCGGCCACGACAAGUCACUUGUGAAAUCUCCGGGCUUAACUCGGAACGGUCAAGUGAUACUGUCGGGCUAGAGUGCGGAAGGGGCAACUGGAAUUCUCGGUGUAGCGGUGAAAUGCGCAGAUAUCAGGAGGAACACCGGUGGCGAAGGCGGAUCUCUGGGCCUUACCUGACGCUGAGGAGCGAAAGCGUGGGGAGCGAACAGG